rnacentral:rRNA from 1 species
AUUAAACGCUGGCGGCAUGCCUUACACAUGCAAGUCGAACGGUAGCGCGGGGCAACCUGGCGACGAGUGGCGAACGGGUGAGUAAAGCAUCGGAACGUGCCCUGGAAUGGGGGAUAACGUAGCGAAAGUUACGCUAAUACCGCAUAUUCUGUGAGCAGGAAAGCAGGGGAUCGCAAGACCUUGCGUUCUGGGAGCGGCCGAUGUCGGAUUAGCUAGUUGGUGGGGUAAAAGCCUACCAAGGCGACGAUCCGUAGCGGGUCUGAGAGGAUGAUCCGCCACACUGGGACUGAGACACGGCCCAGACUCCUACGGGAGGCAGCAGUGGGGAAUUUUGGACAAUGGGCGGAAGCCUGAUCCAGCCAUGCCGCGUGAGUGAAGAAGGCCUUCGGUUGUAAAGCUCUUCGGUGGAGAAAGUUGCACGGGUUAAGUACCCUGUGUAGAUGACGGUACCC